rnacentral:rRNA from 1 species
UACGUAGGGUCCGAGCGUUGUCCGGAAUUAUUGGGCGUAAAGGGCGCGUAGGCGGCCGUGCAAGUGGAAGGUGAAAUCCCUCGGCUCAACCGAGGAACUGCCUUUCAAACUGCAUGGCUUGAGUCCGGGAGAGGUGAGUGGAAUUCCCAGUGUAGCGGUGAAAUGCGUAGAUAUUGGGAGGAACACCAGUGGCGAAGGCGGCUCACUGGACCGGAACUGACGCUGAGGCGCGAAAGCGUGGGGAGCAAACGGG